rnacentral:rRNA from 1 species
UACGGAGGGGGCUAGCGUUGUUCGGAAUUACUGGGCGUAAAGAGCGUGUAGGCGGCCCGGUAAGUCCGCUGUGAAAGUCGGGGGCUCAACCCUCGAAUGCCGGUGGAUACUGUCGGGCUAGAGUGCGGAAGAGGCGAGUGGAAUUCCUGGUGUAGCGGUGAAAUGCGCAGAUAUCAGGAGGAACACCAAUUGCGAAGGCAGCUCGCUGGGACGUAACUGACGCUGAGACGCGAAAGCGUGGGGAGCAAACAGG